rnacentral:lncRNA from 1 species
AUUGCCAUUUCCUCAUGCAAAUCAUUUUAUUUGCAUGAACGGCCUUUGUGCUCUGGUAUUCCACGAUUAGGGGUUUUCUCACGACAAGUCUAAGGAGUAGUAUCAAGGUGUUUGUGUACAUGCGUAAAUUGGAUAUUAUACUCUCACCUAUGUUAUGUUGUUCUUUAAAGUUUGUUGAAUUAUUGUUUAUGUUUAAUUUGAGUACUAGGUUUUGAUAUUGUGACAUCAUGGCCUAGUUUAACACUAUGUUCUUGGAUCUCGAGAAAAUAUUACAUAUUUUAUUUUAUUAUGAAGAUGUUUGUAAAGCUCAAGGCUCUAAGACGUAAAAGUAUUCUAUU